rnacentral:rRNA from 1 species
CGGCGGACGGGUGAGUAACGCGUGGGCAACCUGCCUUACACAGGGGGAUAACAGUUAGAAAUGACUGCUAAUACCGCAUAAGACCACAGGACUGCAUGGUCCGGUGGUAAAAACUCCGGUGGUGUAAGAUGGGCCCGCGUCUGAUUAGGUAGUUGGCGGGGUAACGGCCCACCAAGCCGACGAUCAGUAGCCGACCUGAGAGGGUGACCGGCCACAUUGGGACUGAGACACGGCCCAGGCUCCUACGGGAGGCAGCAG